CCCACACAAGUGGCUCAGGUAGUGCAGCUCAUCCAGGAUGGCACAUCAAUGUGAGCUGCGGCAAGAAGGUUUGCUGUGUCUGUCAGCGUAGCGUCCAGAGCAUGGAGGCGUUGCCAGGAGACAGACCAGUACAUCAGGACCUCAGUGUGAAUGGGCGAUGGAAGAUUUUAGAAUGUCGGGAUUUUGUUUGAGCACGGAACAGUUCAUCUUUAUCCAAGAGAGCUUAAUGACAUUUUUCUUCGUGAAAGCACACCGCACAUUAGUUUUUCAGCCAAAGACUGGAAUUACUUCAGAAACAAAGUCUGUAAAGAUAUGAGUGCUUCAAAAGGAGUCUAUACCACACAAUGGUGCGGCUCUGUGCCUAGAGAGCUCUACCGUGUAGACACAAACCUUGAAGUCUACGACCUGGAAUCCUACAUCUUUUUUAGAUCGUGCCAGGACGAUUCUAUCAUUUAAAAGGCAAGGAUGCGAACCCCAGAGCAACAAAAAGGCUACCCCAUCACAUCUAAAGAGUGGGAGACGUGGUUCAGCACCGGCUUUGUGGUACGAUGACAUGUGCAGCAGGUGAGGAUCUAUCGAGCAGCCCAAAAUAUUUCCAUUACUCCAGGAUGAUGAUAACUCAUGAGUGGAUGACUAUGGCAAAGAACUGGGGAAAAGAAAUUUAACAUUUCUCAUUCCUAAAGAAAAAGCAGAGGAGGACAAGAGCAGGAUCAAGCCGUUUAAGGGUGCCUGUUUGGACACUCUGGACUGUUGCAACAAGAACACAUCUCCUAACACUACUGCUAGCGGUAUUAUACAGGGUCGCAGGAGGCUGGAGCCAAUCCCAGCUUACAUUGGACGAAAGGUGGG